UACGAAGGGGGCUAGCGUUGCUCGGAAUUACUGGGCGUAAAGGGCGCGUAGGCGGCCGAUCAAGUCAGGCGUGAAAUUCCUGGGCUUAACCUGGGGGCUGCGCUUGAGACUGAUUGGCUAGAGGAUGGAAGAGGCUCGUGGAAUUCCUGGUGUAGCGGUGAAAUGCGCAGAUAUCAGGAAGAACACCCGUGGCGAAGGCGGCUCUCUGGGACGGUACUGACGCUGAGACGCGAAAGCGUGGGGAGCGAACAGG
rnacentral:rRNA from 1 species